GUGUCAGCAGCCGCGGUUAUACGGAGGUGGCAACCGUUGUCCAGAUUUAUUGGGCGUCACAGGGGGCGCAUGUGGUUUCUUAAGUCUGAUGUGAAAGCCCACGGCUUAACCGUGGAGGGUCAUUGGAAACUGGGAAACUUGAGUACAGAAGAGGAAUGUGGAACUCCAUGUGUAGCGGUGGAAUGCGUAGAUAUAUGGAAGAACACCAGUGGCGAAGGCGACAUUCUGGUCUGUUACUGACACUGAGGCUCGAAAGCGUGGGGAGCAAACAGGAUUAGAUACCCUGGUAGUCC
rnacentral:rRNA from 1 species